rnacentral:rRNA from 1 species
UACGGGGGGGGCAAGCGUUGUUCGGAAUUACUGGGCGUAAAGGGCUCGUAGGUGGCCAACUAAGUCAGACGUGAAAUCCCUCGGCUUAACCGGGGAACUGCAUCUGAUACUGGAUGGCUUGAGUUUGGGAGAGGGAUGCGGAAUUCCAGGUGUAGCGGUGAAAUGCGUAGAUAUCUGGAGGAACACCGGUGGCGAAGGCGGCAUCCUGGACCAACACUGACGCUGAGGAGCGAAAGCCAGGGGAGCAAACGGG